UUUUUUUUUUUAUCUUUUUUUUAUUUUUUUUUUCCCCU
rnacentral:ribozyme from 1 species